UUACUGUGAUGAGCUUCCACUUCAGGUCCGUGUUUUUGAAGUUUAGUGAUAUUCACGAAGUUCUGAGUUU